UUCCCCCCUAAAACCCCCAAACCCUCCACUCUCCAGAUACCCCCAAAUCCCCUCCCUUUCCCCCCACCAAAAUGGCACUCUUCGCUCGCCUCCGCCUCCGCCUCCAGUUCCUCCACCUCCGCCACCACAUCAACUUCUCCACCUCCCCACUCUCCUCCAAAUCCAAAACAUGCGCCGCCCUCUCACUCCUCAAAAGCGAAACCAACCCCGAAAAAAUCCUCGAAAUCUGCCGCUCCGCUUGCCUAACUCCCUACGCACACAUCGACCGAAUCACCUUCUCAGUCGCCAUUGACAAGCUCGCCAAAUCCAACAACUUCUCUUACAUCGACGACUUCUUAACUGAUCUCCGCACUUCACGCCCUGAUCUCCGCACCGUACGCUUCGCUGCUCACUCCAUCAUCCUCUACGGCCAAGCUGGCAUGAUUGAUCAGGCGAUUCGGCUUUUCAAGGAAUAUCAUGAGAAGAAUCAAAAUGACGUCGUUUUAACCUCUGGGUCAGUGAAAUUGUUGAAUGCCUUGCUGUUUUCGUGUAUUUUAGCAAAGAAAUAUGAUGAAGUGAAUAGGGUUUUUGUUGAUUUUAGUAAGAGGUACAAAAUCGAGCCGAAUCUGGAAACUUUUAAUACUGUCAUUCAGUCAUUUUGUGAGAGUGGGAGUUCGAGUUCGUGUUAUUCGGUUUUGAAUGAGAUGGAUAUGAAGGGAGUGAAGCCGAACGAAACCACUUUCGGGCAUUUAUUUGCGGGGUUUUAUAGGGAAGAGAAGUAUGAGGAUGUAGGGACAGUGUCGAAAAUGAUAGAGGAGGAUUAUGGGAUCAGUGCUGGUAUUGGUGUUUAUAAUAUUAGGAUUCACAGUUUGUGUAAACUUAAGAGGGCGAGAGAAGCGAAUGUAUUGUUAGAAGGGUGUUUAUCGAAGGGAAUUACGCCGAAUGGGGUUACGUAUAGUCAUUUGAUUCUUGGGUUUUGUAUGGAAGGUGAUUUGGAGGAAGCAAAGAGGUUGUUUAAGAGUAUGGAGAAUAGAGGGUGUCAACCGGCUUAUAGCUGUUAUGCUACUUUGGUUUACUUUUUGGGUAAAGGUGGGGAUUUCGAGUCGGCCUAUAGGGUUUGCAAGGAGAGCAUGGGGAAGAAAAUGGUGCCAAAUUUUUCGACUAUGAAGAUUUUAGUGCAAGGGCUUGCGAGUAGUGGGGAGGUAGACAAGGCGAAAGAGCUUAUUGGGGAAGUAAAGGAGAGGUUUUCCAAGAAUAUCGAGUUGUGGAAUGAGGUUGAAGCUGGGUUGCCUCAGUAGCAAAUGGGAUAUGGCGGCAGAAAAGUUCUCAAAUGAUGUCACAGCAUCAAUUCUAACUUUACAAUUCAAGGGACAUAGCUAUAGUCUAUAGAUGCUGGAGUAUGCAUUUCGAUGACUUAGUCAGGAAUCUUUGGUUCAAUUUCUAUCUCUAGUCCAUACUUGAAUGUUGGCAUUGGAUCUCUAGAAAAAGAAAUGUUUUGGCAACAGAGCUUCCAUGUGAACCUGUUCACCAGGCUGACCAAGCUACCUGGAAUAAAUAGUUCAAACCUAAAGCAUGUUAGCAUGUAGCAUGGUAUUGAGCUACAACAAAUAGGGAAACAAGCAUGGGAUUGUGUCACACCUGCCAUCCUUUGGGAAUAAGUGCCAUAUUUUUCAACCAUUUAUGGUUUUAUGUAAUGGUAAUCGAUCUUUAUUCAGUUGGUAGUUGUUCCUUUCAACAACUGAUUGAAGCAUGUGAAUGGCAAAUUGAUUGGCACCGAUAGAACGCCCUUCAGCAGUUGUUGAAAUAGCUCUACAAGCUGGAGAAAUGAUACAAGGACCCCUCACGCUUGUGCUCAUGUCCAUUCAAUUCCAGGAUAUUCCUCUCACCGCAAAUCUUUCUUACCGAUAAUGGAUGUUGAUUGACAAGUGUGCUACCAUCACAAGUAUAGAUGAACUUAUUUGCAGCCAGUCCAUGAAGGAACAUUGUUGGGGUCCCAAAGAAGUUCAUUUUUUAAAUGGGGCCGUAUUUUCUUAUUCUAUCCUGAAGCCAUUUAUCUACUGUGUUUCAUGCGCAUGGCACGUAGGAAGCUCAGGCUUUGGCCUAUGAUGGGUAACCCCAAAGAAACUGGUGGAAGCCUUUUUGAACUUUUCCUUAUCAGGAGAAGGUAAAGUGGAAGAAGAAAAGGAAGCAAGGAGAAAAAGAUUCCAGGAUCCAUAUCUCCUAUAAUUAUUGGUUUAAACCACACAAAAUACCUAGAGAGGAACACUUCUACUUACGAAACACUGACUUAACAAUCCCACUUAUAAGAAACUCUAAUUUUGUCUCCUGUUGUUAUCCUGGCAGAUCUACACGUAUUCAAGCAUUUUGGUCUUGAUGCUGAUGCAUAUCACUUGUAGAUGUAUAUGCUCCAAAUCAUAGAUAACAAUGAUCUGAGUUUGAACCUUCCCAUAUUGAAAAAUCUGAAUUUCCUGAGGAUUUGUCAUGAGGUGGGUGGAAUAUCCAAUCAAGAGCUGAACUAGUCUUCUAUGCGGACGCCAUCAUGAGUACAUGUUACACACAAAAAUCCAAGAUGCUAAAUCAACCUACUUGUCGGAAAACGUUGCAAUGUUCUUGAAAGUUUUUCGGCAACGCAUGUAAAUCCUACUACUUGUCAUCCAGGAAGAACAAGAAUAGCCUUAAACAGCUUGGCCAACAGGAAUAUCUUGCUCUUGGGCUUUCUAGUAACACAAUGUGUCACCCAGUAUAUACUGAUUAAUUCAGCCCUUGUCACUACUGCAAGGCAGCAUGUCAUAUUUUUGCCGAAUUUGGACAGCAGAAUUUCUGUUACUAAAUACUUGUAUAUUCAGACAAAGGUUAACUAUUUUGUGUAGAACUGAAGAAAGUAUUUAAUAAUAAAACCAUCUUUUGUCCAA